GUGGGGAAUAUUGGACAAUGGGCGAAAGCCUGAUCCAGCCAUGCCGCGUGUGUGAAGAAGGUCUUCGGAUUGUAAAGCACUUUAAGUUGGGAGGAAGGGCAGUAAGUUAAUACCUUGCUGUUUUGACGUUACCAACAGAAUAAGCACCGGCUAACUUCGUGCCAGCAGCCGCGGUAAUACGAAGGGUGCAAGCGUUAAUCGGAAUUACUGGGCGUAAAGCGCGCGUAGGUGGUUCAGCAAGUUGAAGGUGAAAUCCCCGGGCUCAACCUGGGAACUGCCUCCAAAACUACUGAGCUAGAGUACGGUAGAGGGUAGUGGGAUUUCCUGUGUAGCGGUGAAAUGCGUAGAUAUAGGAAGGAACACCAGUGGCGAAGGCGACUACCUGGACUGAUACUGACACUGAGGUGCGAAAGCGUGGGGAGCAAACAGGAUUAGAUACCCUAGUAGUCC
rnacentral:rRNA from 1 species